rnacentral:rRNA from 1 species
GACGAACGCGGGCGGCGUGCUAAUACAUGCAAGUCGAACGAGAGCGACCGGUGCUUGCACUGGUCAAUCUAGUGGCGAACGGGUGAGUAACACGUGGGUAACCUGCCCAUCAGAGGGGGAUAACAUCCGGAAACGGAUGCUAAAACCGCAUAGGUCUUCGAGCCGCAUGGCUUGAAGAGGAAAAGAGGCGCAAGCUUCUGCUGAUGGAUGGACCCGCGGUGCAUUAGUUAGUUGGUGAGGUAACGGCUCACCAAGGCCGUGAUGCAUAGCCGACCUGAGAGGGUGAUCGGCCACAUUGGGACUGAGACACGGCCCAAACUCCUACGGGAGGCAGCAGUAGGGAAUCUUCCGCAAUGGACGCAAGUCUGACGGAGCAACGCCGCGUGAGUGAAGAAGGUUUUCGGAUCGUAAAACUCUGUUG